AUUCGUAGGGGGCGAGCGUUGUCCGGAAUGAUUGGGCGUAAAGGGCGCGUAGGCGGCCUGUUAAGUCUGGAGUGAAAGUCCUGUUUUCAAGAUGGGAAUUGCUUUGGAUACUGAUGGGCUUGAGUGCAGGAGAGGUUAUCGGAAUUCCCGGUGUAGCGGUGAAAUGCGUAGAGAUCGGGAGGAACACCAGUGGCGAAGGCGGGUAACUGGACUGCAACUGACGCUGAGGCGCGAAAGUGUGGGGAGCAAACAGGAUUAGAUACCCUGGUAGUCCACACUGUAAACGAUGAAUGCUAGGUGUAAGAGGUAUCGACCCCUUUUGUGCCGGAGUUAACACAAUAAGCAUUCCGCCUGGGGAGUACGGCCGCAAGGUUGAAACUCAAAUGAAUUGACGGGG
rnacentral:rRNA from 1 species